GCGGCCCGCCCUGCGGCUGGCUGGCGCGGUGUCUGCUGCUCGGCCGCUCGCCGAUGCGCCUUUCCCUGCGCAGCCCUAACUAAGCUCAGCCCAGACCCCUGCCAGGCUGCCCCCGGAAUCUUCUUCGCUCUCUCGCUUCUUCCUGCCGUCUUCUAUGGGGUACCCUCAAAGCCUCGACCUAAACCUCACGCUGAUCAUCUCGGGCCUCCUUUGCGUCCCCAACCCUCGGCUGCGUUUCCAAUCCGUGAACUGGACUCCCCCGCCCCACCCCCACCCGCGCUCCGCCUUGCUGCUCUUUUCCGCUUCGUAGGGAAGGAAUGGCAGGGAGAGAGACACAGGGAAAAGCACUCCAACUUCGAAAUAAUCGGGAGGCUAUAAAUCUACCACUGCCCACAAAGCAAAAUGGUCCUAAAAAUGAAAAUCAUCUCUGGAUUUGGGACCACAAGCAUGAGGGGCUGAACUGAAUGAGACCACUGGAGGACGGGAAGAUGUGAUUCUUCAGCUUUGUAGAAAUGAUAUUAAGGGGCUGUUCGAUAGAGAGGCUUGAGAAAUCCAAAAGACCUGGACUUCACAUACCGGUCACUUACUUCACUGGUAGUGAGAUGGUGCAUUAGUUAUCUGUAUCUAAGUUCUGUGAAUUGGUCCUCGUCUCCAAAAAACCACCCCUCCUGUCAUGGGUUAAAGAUAAUAACCCUUGCUAAUAAAUGUUAAUUUCCCAA